rnacentral:ncRNA from 1 species
GCCGGGGACGGCACGGGAAGGUGGCAGAGUGGUUGAAUGUACCUGACUCGAAAUCAGGCAGGCGUUUAUAGCGCCUCGGGGGUUCGAAUCCCCCCCUUCCCGCCAGUUGUGCAUUGGGCCCCGUCAGGGGCCUUUA